GUAAUGUUGUUUGGAAGUCAAGACUCUGGAUUUCACGUUGGUGUAAAUAAACACUGCACUUGGGUUCUACACUUCAUCAUCGUCUGCCUGUCAUUGCCAGCGUUGUUACACAUUUACAUUUUACCUAAGGACAAACCAUCUGGGACAGAUUGGUUCACUCUGAUUGUAACACAACAGUUGGAUGGGAUAAGACUCUUGAAGUACAUUGGCAAAACCAACAGACAACUCUGCACCCGCAUUAAUGAACAUCGUAGUUCCAUCUACAGAGGUGACCCAAAAUCUCCGGUUGCCAGACAUUUUAAGGAAGCCAGACACCC